rnacentral:lncRNA from 1 species
CUAUUUAACUAGCAACAGGAGGAGAUGAAAUUAUGUUGGUGCAUUAAUUUUGGACAAAUGAAAUAUCAUGGGUAAUAGAGACAUGAGGUAAGAAGCCAGCAUUUUAUUUUCUAAUUUGUAAUAUGAAGAUCUUGGAAGAAGAUCUAGACUAGAUAAUCUGCAGUUUAAGAUGUUGGGUGAUGAUGUUAGAACCAAUAUUAAGAAGGAAUUCAUGGAAGAAGGGAUUAAAGGUACUCUCAUGGAUUGCAAAAGUGACAA